rnacentral:rRNA from 1 species
UACGGAGGGUGCGAGCGUUGUCCGGAAUCACUGGGCGUAAAGGGCGCGUAGGUGGCCUGUGGAAGUCUGCGGUGAAAGCCCGGCGCUCAACGCCGGGUCGGCCGUGGAUACUCUCGGGCUCGAGCUUACUAGAGGCAGAUGGAAUUCCGGGUGUAGCGGUGGAAUGCGUAGAGAUCCGGAAGAACACCGGUGGCGAAGGCGGUCUGCUGGGGUAAUGCUGACACUGAUGCGCGACAGCGUGGGGAGCAAACAGGAUUACGAAACCCCUGUAGAU